GCGCUAACGCGACUUCUCGGCGCCAUUUUGUCCCGGUAGCGGUGGCUGCAGCUCUAUCGCAUUUUAUGUUUCUGGCGUGAAGGAAGCGGAGUCGUUGUCCGGUAGAUCAGUCUUAGUGCGGAACCCACCCCUAGUUCGCUCCAGUACAGCGCGUCGUGAAGUUCAGAGGAGUCGCAGAGCUGUCGAAAAGGUCGCUUGGAGGCUGUGGUCGUCUGACUGACGGGGGGUGGGGGGGCGCAGCUCUGGAGGCUUCUUCGGCACCGGAAGUGAAGGCGCCGCCUGCAGCCAUGUUGUACUGAAGAAAAAAGGACAUCUUGGUGACAGUACCUCAAGCAGAGGCAUUUGUGAUAGAAAUACAAGCAAAUGGAUGAGUCUUACCAGAUAAGUACCUUUUGUAUUCUAAAAUUCAUUUUAUGUGUAACAGCUAAAGCAAAACUGUUCUUUACAAUGUGUUUUUUUUUUCUUUUAGAUAGCAGGAUCAAGAUGACAUAUAAUAACAAGCCCUUUCACGUACUACAUCCUCAUGAGCUUGUGUGUGUUACUGGGGAGCAAACUCAAGGCCUCACAUAUGCUAAAAGCAAGCACUACACCACUGAACUGUACUCCAGCCCAUACGUACUACUUAUUUUGGGCCUAAAUGGUGGACAUUUGCUUUUUUUGUAUUUUUUAUUUUACAGACUAAGAAAAUUUUAAGUGACAGAAUAGAAACUGUAUUUAUCCUCGAAACUACUUCUGCUCACAAUAAUAAAGGAAAAGAACAAAAUCAGUGACUCUUUGUUAGCCUUUCCUGUUGCUAAGAAAAAUUACCCAACACACACACACACACACACACAACCAGAGAAGGGGGGGAGACACAGCCCAGCUGUCUCUUUCUGUCAUACACAUACACACACACCCGAGGGGGGAGGAGCCAGAGACAGGAAUACCCCCUUUAUUGUCCCUAGUGACCCUCCUAUUCUGAUCGGCCUCCCCUUCCAAAAGCAGUCUGCUGUAGACUACCAGUGAUGAGUUCAGUAGUGAAUACAGUGCCCCCUUGAUUCCAGUUACAUUCCCUGAUCACUGCCUGUAACCAUGAGAUUUAUAAAACUGAAAACACCUUGUUUUGCUCACACAUUAAGGACUGCCUGAUGACUACCAGUUAUUUCACUAAGUUCGAAAGUGGCCAAUAAUUUCAGUCAUUUCCUUAAUAAACUGAUGGAAUGUGUCUGAUUUGAAAGCCUCAUUU